rnacentral:rRNA from 1 species
UACAGAGGGUGCAAGCGUUAAUCGGAUUUACUGGGCGUAAAGCGUGCGUAGGCGGUUCAGUAUGUCGGUCGUGAAAUCCCCGGGCUCAACCUGGGAACUGCGGCCGAAACUGCUGGGCUUGAGUGUGGUAGAGGGCGGUGGAAUUCCGGGUGUAGCGGUGAAAUGCGUAGAGAUCCGGAGGAACAUCAAUGGCGAAGGCAGCCGCCUGGGCCACAACUGACGCUGAGGUACGAAAGCGUGGGGAGCAAACAGG